rnacentral:tRNA from 1 species
GGGAAGAUGGUUCAGUGGCAGAAUGCUUGCCUUGCAUGCAUGAGGUCUGGGUUCGAUUCCUCAGUACCA